rnacentral:rRNA from 1 species
CGAACGCUGGCGGCGUGCUUAACACAUGCAAGUCGAACGGAAAGGCCCUGCUUUUGUGGGGUACUCGAGUGGCGAACGGGUGAGUAACACGUGAGUAACCUGCCCUUGACUUUGGGAUAACUUCAGGAAACUGGGGCUAAUACCGGAUAGGAGCUCCUGCUGCAUGGUGGGGGUUGGAAAGUUUCGGCGGUUGGGGAUGGACUCGCGGCUUAUCAGCUUGUUGGUGGGGUAGUGGCUUACCAAGGCUUUGACGGGUAGCCGGCCUGAGAGGGUGACCGGCCACAUUAGGACUGAGAUACGGCCCAGACUCCUACGGGAGGCAGCAGUGGGGAAUAUUGCACAAUGGGCGGAAGCCUGAUGCAGCAACGCCGCGUGCGGGAUGACGGCCUUCGGGUUGUAAACCGCUUUCGCCUGUGACGAAGCGUGAGUGACGGUAAUGGGUAAAGAAGCACCGGCUAACUACGUG